AUGCCCAGUGCACCAAAGCCUUCGGGACAGGGGGGCUUUCACGGACCUCCCCUGGGGGAAGGGGGCCUGCGGGGGAGCAUUUCCACCCUCACCGCCCCGCACGCACCCCUGCAUUCCCCGUUAGACUUCAGGUUCCCCUCCGGCUCAUGCUCAUCGAUGCAGAGACAAUUCUGUGUGUGUGUGUGUCUGUCCCUGCCUGUCUCUGUCUCUACCUCUCUAUCUCUGUCUCUCUGUCUCUGUCUCUCCGUCUCUGUCCUGCCAAUGGCACGCAACCAUCCUGGUCCCACCCCUUCAUCGUCUCCCUCUUUUCUGGCAGAAAAAUUCAGCUCAGUGCCUUGGUCUCAGACUUUCAUACCCGGCCUGUCAUCUUUCUUAACAAACCAAGGUCCUUUCAGCCACCAGGACACACCUACUUCCGGAGGCAGGAGAACUGGGCGUGGGCAAAGUCAUCUCUGGGGGCCAGGAGAGAAUUUUAGCGCAGCAGCUCUCCUGGCUCCCAGGGACGUCACACUCUUGCUCUGGGCCAGCAGGUGCAUGUCACCCUCCCGUCCCCGUCCCCGUCCCCGUCCCCGGGGCUGGCUGCUACCACCCAUCCUAUUUCACAGGUGGCAAGGCACAGGCUCCAAGAGGUGUGAGGCCGGCGGUGGUCCCUCAGCUGUGAGGGUGGCGGUGCCAGAGCUCGGUUCUGGCUCUGUCCCACUGCAGAGCUCUGGUGGCCGCCAGCCUGAGCAUUUGGGGAUGGGGACGUGGGACCCGUGGCUAGGGACCUGCGCCCCCACAUCCGGGGCCUGGCUUGGGGAGGCCCUGUCCAGCAGGUGUCUGCUGGAUAAGCUGAAUGGCACAGGAGCCCCUUGGAAGAAAGAAGGCCAGGCCAGAGGGAGCCUUGGUUCUUUUCUUGGAAAAGGUAGACAGAAAUCCUACAGUAUUUUUAGCCCCUCUCCACACUCCCCCUCGUUUCCUUCAUGUCGUCCCAGACUUCCGUUCAAAAUGGCACUGGCAUUUCUGCCUGGAUUCGUUUUAGGAUGGAGCACUCCACGAACACUUGGGUUCCCUGCUGGGGGGUGGGAACACCCGCGUGCGGGACUGGCACGGCCUCCAAACUUGACAGGCGAACAGGCACACACCGCCAACACGUCCCAGUCUGCUCAGGAGCCUCGCUCUGCGGUCUGGCCCUGA
rnacentral:lncRNA from 1 species